GACGAACGCUGGCGGCGUGCUUAACACAUGCAAGUCGAACGAAGUGGCGAACGGGUGAGUAACGCGUAAUCAACCUGCCCUUCAGAGGGGGACAACAGUUGGAAACGACUGCUAAUACCGCAUACUGAAGGAGGGGAUUGCGUCUGAUUAGCUAGUUGGAGGGGUGACGGCCCACCAAGGCGAUGAUCAGUAGGCGGUCUGAGAGGAGGAACGGGCACAUCGGGGCUGAGACACGGCCCAGACUCCUUCGGGAGGCAGCAGUGGGGAAUCUUCCGCAAUGGAACAAAGGCUGACGGGGCAACGCCGCGGGGGGGAUGACGGCCUUCGGGUUGGAAAGCUCUGUUAAUCGGGACGCGGUACCGGAAUAGAAAGCCACGGCUAACUACGUGCCAGCAGCCGCGGUAAUAC
rnacentral:rRNA from 1 species